GCAUUGGUGAAAGUAGCUGUGGAAAGCUUGUGGUCCACUCCAGUGGAGGUGAAUUUGACGCCUGGUGAGAUGAACAAACGCUGCUAGAUCCACGCUGCUAAUCUAGUGCUCCGUACGCGAGUCCAGCCAAGCUGGCUUCCGCUCGACUGGGUUCACGGUUUGUCACUUAUGCACUAAUUCUGUCACUCCACCGUUGGUGUUUCAAAUCGUCUCGCGUUCACAGUAGCUACAGAUUCCACGUCCGUGUUCACGCUAGGCCAGACGGAGACGUCCUGUCAGAGAAAGCAGCCUUUGUAGUUCUCCACGAUCGUCACGCAUCCACAUGGCUCUGGCAAGAGCAGCCGCUCGUAGCCGUGGCGCUCCAGGUCAGGGGGUGGGCUGGCCUCCGUACCCCACCCAAGGCACACCGCCAGCUGGCUGCGUGGGCCAAGAGGGCCUCCUCCCCGAUCCUGCUCCAGCAGCACCUGUGGAGCUCACCUGUGGAGCACCAAGGAAGAAACAAGAAAAGAAUAUGAACGCGGAGCUAAGAUGGAAAAGAAUGUGUUAGACUGCGUACGCAGUCAGUCAGACAUGCAGAGUGAAGUAGAGAGAUUUGUGCUGAGUUAAACUGGGUAAUGUAGAAGAAAAUAUUCCAGGCAUUUAAACAUCCGAAGAGAUCAUCACUUCUGUUUCCAGUUGUUAUUGCAACAGGCAAUGUGUGUGUGACACAAGUGAUGUUGACCAUCUCCAUCUAUCUAUAUACACACAUGCUUGAACUUUGACAUUUGGAGCAGAUGUGGUUCAAUUAGGGACAUAUGUCUGCCUUAAUCUCCAGCACGGUGCUGCCUAAGGCUACGCAGCACCACCUCCUCCUGCCCCUUCGCUUAGUGUGUGUGUGUGUGUGUGUGUGUGUGUGUGGGGCUAUAAGAUGAUGGUGUAUUUGUGUUUUAUGGGGCUUGUCUCUGCUUUUUUCAUGUUUUUCAGCUUAAAUGUAUUUCCUGUGGAAAUCAGUUACUCUUUAUUGGUUGCAGCUUUAAAAGUGUCUCAUGUAAAUAACCGAGGCUGUAGUCUGUCUCUUGGUUUAUAUUCCAAUGGCUUUUUCACAAUAACAGCAAAAUUGGUCCAAGAGAAGGACGUUUUUAAAGGCAGUGCGCUCCAUGCAUGUUAGUAAGUCCACAUGCUUAACUAAUGCACAAACACUGCGACCCAUUUACACC